rnacentral:rRNA from 1 species
UUGAACGCUGGCGGAAUGCUUUACACAUGCAAGUCGAGCGGCAGCGCGGGGGCAACCCUGGCGGCGAGUGGCGGACGGGUGAGGAAUAUAUGGGAAUCUGCCCAGUCGUGGGGGAUAACGUAUGGAAACGUACGCUAAUACCGCAUGCGCCCUUUGGGGGAAAGCCGGGGACCUUCGGGCCUGGCGCGAUUGGAUGAGCCCAUGUUCGAUUAGCUAGUUGGCGGGGUAAAGGCCCACCAAGGCGACGAUCGAUAGCUGGUCUGAGAGGAUGAUCAGCCACACUGGGACUGAGACACGGCCCAGACUCCUACGGGAGGCAGCAGUAGGGAAUAUUGGACAAUGGGCGCAAGCCUGAUCCAGCCAUGUCGCGUGAGUGAAGAAGGCCCUCGGGUUGUAAAGCUCUUUUGUUGGGGAAGAAAAGCAGUCGGUUAAUACCUGAUUGUUCUGACGGUACCCAAAGAAUAAGCACCGGCUAACUUCGU